rnacentral:lncRNA from 1 species
CCUGUUGUUCCAGCCAGUGUUUCCUAUCUUCUCAGUCCACAGUUUAUGUGUGUGUGUUCUACAGGUAUUUCAGCUGGUUCUGCCAUCAGAGGUGAAGCCAGACAGAAGUAAAGCUCAGUGAUCACAAACCACCGGGCCCCUUCUCAUUAACAUGCCCCUGUUUCAUGGUGAAGAACCCAAGAAGAUGUCUCAGUGGAAGCCCUGUUUCUCCAAGAUAAAACAGCAAGCUUAAGAAUAAAAUAGUAAUGAGAAGUAAGAGAAGCCUGGCGGAUCAGUCUAACACAACACAGUUCUGGACCACGACCCUGCUCAGCUGAUGCACCACCCAUCUCUCAGGACUUAAUGGAUGAU